rnacentral:misc_RNA from 1 species
CAAAAGAGCAACAAAGUCAGAGAUAGAGGUAGAGAGAGAUUAGAAAUGAGGCCUGCAAGCAACUCCACAACAGGUGGUGCUGGUGCUGGAUUCUGGCACUUCCAUGCCUUACCUCUUUGGGGGGCUAGCACUCAUGUUGGGAAUCAUCACUUUUGCUUUGAUAAUCCUUGCCUGCUCCUGCAGGAAUUCUUCCAAUUCAGCGACACAGGUUCCUGAACAGAAAUCAGUCAAGCAAGU